rnacentral:rRNA from 1 species
AGAGUUUGAUCAUGGCUCAGAUUGAACGCUGGCGGCAGGCCUAACACAUGCAAGUCGAACGGUAACAGGAAACAGCUUGCUGUUUCGCUGACGAGUGGCGGACGGGUGAGUAAUGUCUGGGAAACUGCCUGAUGGAGGGGGAUAACUACUGGAAACGGUAGCUAAUACCGCAUAACGUCGCAAGACCAAAGAGGGGGACCCUCGGGCCUCUUGCCAUCGGAUGUGCCCAGAUGGGAUUAGCUUGUUGGUGGGGUAACGGCUCACCAAGGCGACGAUCCCUAGCUGGUCUGAGAGGAUGACCAGCCACACUGGAACUGAGACACGGUCCAGACUCCUACGGGAGGCAGCAGUGGGGAAUAUUGCACAAUGGGCGCAAGCCUGAUGCAGCCAUGCCGCGUGUAUGAAGAAGGCCUUCGGUUGUAAAGUACUUUCAGCGGGGAGGAAGGGAGUAAAGUUAAUACCUUUGCUCAUUGACGUUACCCGCAGAAGAAGCACCGGCUAACUCCGUGCCAGCAGCCGCGGUAAUACGGAGGGUGCAAGCGUUAAUCGGAAUUACUGGGCGUAAAGCGCACGCAGGCGGUUUGUUAAGUCAGAUGUGAAAUCCCCGGGCUCAACCUGGGAACUGCAUCUGAUACUGGCAAGCUUGAGUCUCGUAGAGGGGGGUAGAAUUCCAGGUGUAGCGGUGAAAUGCGUAGAGAUCUGGAGGAAUACCGGUGGCGAAGGCGGCCCCCUGGACGAAGAUUGACGCUCAGGUGCGAAAGCGUGGGGAGCAAACAGGAUUAGAUACCCUGGUAGUCCACGCCGUAAACGAUGUCGACUUGGAGGUUGUGCCCUUGAGGCGUGGCUUCCGGAGCUAACGCGUUAAGUCGACCGCCUGGGGAGUACGGCCGCAAGGUUAAAACUCAAAUGAAUUGACGGGGGCCCGCACAAGCGGUGGAGCAUGUGGUUUAAUUCGAUGCAACGCGAAGAACCUUACCUGGUCUUGACAUCCACGGAAGUUUUCAGAGAUGAGAAUGUGCCUUCGGGAACCGUGAGACAGGUGCUGCAUGGCUGUCGUCAGCUCGUGUUGUGAAAUGUUGGGUUAAGUCCCGCAACGAGCGCAACCCUUAUCCUUUGUUGCCAGCGGUCCGGCCGGGAACUCAAAGGAGACUGCCAGUGAUAAACUGGAGGAAGGUGGGGAUGACGUCAAGUCAUCAUGGCCCUUACGACCAGGGCUACACACGUGCUACAAUGGCGCAUACAAAGAGAAGCGACCUCGCGAGAGCAAGCGGACCUCAUAAAGUGCGUCGUAGUCCGGAUUGGAGUCUGCAACUCGACUCCAUGAAGUCGGAAUCGCUAGUAAUCGUGGAUCAGAAUGCCACGGUGAAUACGUUCCCGGGCCUUGUACACACCGCCCGUCACACCAUGGGAGUGGGUUGCAAAAGAAGUAGGUAGCUUAACCUUCGGGAGGGCGCUUACCACUUUGUGAUUCAUGACUGGGGUGAAGUCGUAACAAGGUAACCGUAGGGGAACCUGCGGUUG